rnacentral:rRNA from 1 species
AUUGAACGCUGGCGGCAUGCUUUACACAUGCAAGUCGAACGGCAGCGCGGGCUUCGGCCUGGCGGCGAGUGGCGAACGGGUGAGUAAUGCAUCGGAACGUGCCCAGUAGUGGGGGAUAGCCCGGCGAAAGCCGGAUUAAUACCGCAUACGACCUGAGGGUGAAAGCGGGUGACCGAAAGGCCUCGCGCUAUUGUAGCGGCCGAUGUCGGAUUGGCUAGUUUGUGGGGGAAAGGGUUACCAAGGGGACGAUCCGUAGCUGGUCUGAGAGGACGACCAGCCACCAGGGGAGUGAGCCGCCGACAAGAGGACUAAGGGAGGGCGCAGACGGGAAUUGUGGGCAACGGGGGGAAACAUGGUACAGUCAUGGCGAGCGCGGGAAGGCGGCCCUCCGGUUGUAAACAGGGUUUGUUCGGGAAGAAAUCCUUUGGGCUAAGACCCCGGGGGGAUGACGGUACCGGAAGAAUAAGCACCGGCUAACUACGUG